UAACACAUGCAAGUCGAACGAGACUCCUAAAUCGGUUGGCGGGUCUAGUGGCGCACGGGUGCGUAACGCGUGGGAAUUGCCCUUGGGUUCGGAAUAACACAGAGAAAUUUGUGCUAAUACCGGAUGUGUCUUCGGACCAAAGAUUUAUUGCCCAGGGAUGAGCCCGCGUAGGAUUGCUAGUUGGUGGGGUAAUGGCCCACCAAGGCGACGAUCCUUAGCUGGUCGAGAGCCCGAUCACCCACACUGGGACUGAGACACGGCCCAGACUCCUACGGAGGCAGCAGUGGGGAAUAUUGGACAAUGGGGGAAACCCUGAUCCAGCAUGCCGCGUGAGUGAUGAAGGCCUUAGGGUUGUAAAGCUCUUUUACCCGGAUGAUAAUGACAGUACCAGGGAGAAUAAGCUCCGGCUAACUCCGUGCCGCAGCCGCGGUAAU
rnacentral:rRNA from 1 species